UACGUAGGGGGCAAGCGUUGCUCGGAAUCACUGGGCGUAAAGCGCACGUAGGCGGUUUCUUAAGUCAGGGGUGAAAUCCUGGAGCUCAACUCCAGAACUGCCUUUGAUACUGGGAGACUUGAGUCCGGGAGAGGUGAGUGGAACUGCGAGUGUAGAGGUGAAAUUCGUAGAUAUUCGCAAGAACACCAGUGGCGAAGGCGGCUCACUGGCCCGGUACUGACGCUGAGGUGCGAAAGCGUGGGGAGCAAACAGG
rnacentral:rRNA from 1 species